rnacentral:snRNA from 1 species
GUCUUCUAUUAUAUCCUCUACUCAGUUGUGAUGACACAGACAAGAUUAACAUGGCUCCUGAACAAGGAUGACACGCAAAUGUGUAAAGUGUUCCAUAUUUUA